CGUAAGAACCUUUCUAUUCUACUAUUCCAAAAGUAAAGAUGUUCUUGGGAUAAAGUCAGUACAAUGCAUAAUUUCAACAUGUCCUUGUGGGAUGAUGGGAAAGAGCCUCUUUGUGUGCCUGUCUAUGUAGUUUGCUGCUUGACAGAUAUCUCAAGAGUCGCCAUAUGCAGUACGAAGAAUUGGACAACGUACUAUCGGAUCUUCAUCGGUUUUCAGGUGAGAAUUAUUUUUGAUGAGUUUCAGAGUACUUCAAGAAGUUGGAAAACAACCUUUGGUCUAGGAGAAAGUCCUACCAAUUGUGAGUGAAUCCAUUAAAGAAUGAAAUUGGCUGAUGUGAUUGGAAAGAGAAAUGUUUAGAAAUAUGUGGGAUGUGGGAGACCUGUCGUUUGCUUUAUGAUUCACAGGCUGAGGAUUUCUUCAGGGGACAACUGGCUAACUAAAGAGGUCUGUGUUGCUUUCUUCUUUAAAUGUAAUGGAUGUUAUUGUGUAAAAGUAUGGGAUAAUAUUUGUAUUGUUGCGGGAGGGUUGUUUCUCUUUUUUUUUUCUAACCAAUAGUUUCAAAGAAGAGAAGAGCAUCUUCUUCUAUAGAGAAAUUGAAAUGUAAGAACCUUUCUAUUCUACUAUUCCAAAAGUAAAGAUGUUCUUGGGAUAAAGUCAGUACAAUGCAUAAUUUCAACAUGUCCUUGUGGGAUGAUGGGAAAGAGCCUCUUUGUGUGCCUGUCUAUGUAGUUUGCUGCUUGACAGAUAUCUCAAGAGUCGCCUUAUGCAGUACGAAGAAUUGGACAACGUAUUAUUGGAUCUUCAUCGGUUUUCAGGUGAGAAUUGUUUUUGAUGAGUUUCAGAGUCUCUCAAGAAGUUGGAAAACAACCUUUGGUCUAGGAGGAAGUCCUACCAAUUGUGAGUGAAUCCAUUAAAGAAUGAAAUUGGCUGAUGUGAUUGGAAAGCGAAAUGUUUAGAAAUAUGUGGGAUGUGGGAGACCUGUCGUUUGCUUUAUGAUUCACAGGCUGAGGAUUUCUUCAGGGGACAACUGGCUAGCUAAAGAGGUCUGUGUUGCUUUCUUCUUUAAAUGUAAUGGAUUUUAUUGUGUAAAAGUAUGGGAUAAUAUUUGUAUUGUUGCGGGAGGGUUGUUUCUCUUUUUUUUUUCUAACCAAUAGUUUCAAAGAAGAGAGAAGAGCAUCUUCUUCUAUAGAGAAAUUGAAAUGUAAGAACCUUUCUAUUCUACUAUUCCAAAAGUAAAGAUGUUCUUGGGAUAAAGUCAGUACAAUGCAUAAUUUCAACAUGUCCUUGUGGGAUGAUGGGAAAGAGCCUCUUUGUGUGCCUGUCUAUGUAGUUUGCUGCUUGACAGAUAUCUCAAGAGUCGCCUUAUGCAGUACGAAGAAUUGGACAACGUAUUAUUGGAUCUUCAUCGGUUUUCAGGUGAGAAUUGUUUUUGAUGAGUUUCAGAGUACUUCAAGAAGUUGGAAAACAACCUUUGGUCUAGGAGGAAGUCCUACCAAUUGUGAGUGAAUCCAUUAAAGAAUGAAAUUGGCUGAUGUGAUUGGAAAGAGAAAUGUUUAGAAAUAUGUGGGAUGUGGGAGACCUGUCGUUUGCUUUAUGAUUCACAGGCUGAGGAUUUCUUCAGGGGACAACUGGCUAGCUAAAGAGGUCUGUGUUGCUUUCUUCUUUAAAUGUAAAUGUUAUUGUGUAAAAGUAUGGGAUAAUAUUUGUAUUGUUGUUGCGGGAGGGUUGUUUCUCUUUUUUUUUCUAACCAAUAGUUUCAAAGAAGAGAAGAGCAUCUUCUUCUAUAGAGAAAUUGAAAUGUAAGAACCUUUCUAUUCUACUAUUCCAAAAGUAAAGAUGUUCUUGGGAUCAAGUCAGUACAAUGCAUAAUUUCAACAUGUCCUUGUGGGAUGAUGGGAAAGAGCCUCUUUGUGUGCCUGUCUAUGUAGUUUGCUGCUUGACAGAUAUCUCAAGAGUCGCCAUAUGCAGUACGAAGAAUUGGACAACGUAUUAUUGGAUCUUCAUCGGUUUUCAGGUGAGAAUUGUUUUUGAUGAGUUUCAGAGUCUCUCAAGAAGUUGGAAAACAACCUUUGGUCUAGGAGGAAGUCCUACCAAUUGUGAGUGAAUCCAUUAAAGAAUGAAAUUGGCUGAUGUGAUUGGAAAGAGAAAUGUUUAGAAAUAUGUGGGAUGUGGGAGACCUGUCGUUUGCUUUAUGAUUCACAGGCUGAGGAUUUCUUCAGGGGACAACUGGCUAGCUAAAGAGGUCUGUGUUGCUUUCUUCUUUAAAUGUAAUGGAUUUUAUUGUGUAAAAGUAUGGGAUAAUAUUUGUAUUGUUGCGGGAGGGUUGUUUCUCUUUUUUUUUUCUAACCAAUAGUUUCAAAGAAGAGAAGAGCAUCUUCUUCUAUAGAGAAAUUGAAAUGUAAGAACCUUUCUAUUCUACUAUUCCAAAAGUAAAGAUGUUCUUGGGAUCAAGUCAGUACAAUGCAUAAUUUCAACAUGUCCUUGUGGGAUGAUGGGAAAGAGCCUCUUUGUGUGCCUGUCUAUGUAGUUUGCUGCUUGACAGAUAUCUCAAGAGUCGCCAUAUGCAGUACGAAGAAUUGGACAACCUAUUAUUGGAUCUUCAUCGGUUUUCAGGUGAGAAUUGUUUUUGAUGAGUUUCAGAGUACUUCAAGAAGUUGGAAAACAACCUUUGGUCUAGGAGGAAGUCCUACCAAUUGUGAGUGAAUCCAUUAAAGAAUGAAAUUGGCUGAUGUGAUUGGAAAGAGAAAUGUUUAGAAAUAUGUGGGAGACCUGUCGUUUGCUUUAUGAUUCACAGGCUGAGGAUUUCUUCAGGGGACAACUGGCUAGCUAUAGAGGUCUGUGUUGCUUUCUUCUUUAAAUGUAAUGGAUUUUAUUGUGUAAAAGUAUUGGAUAAUAUUUGUAUUGUUGUUGCGGGAGGGUUGUUUUUCUUUUUUUUUCUAACCAAUAGUUUCAAAGAAGAGAAAAGAGCAUCUUCUUCUAUAGAGAAAUUGAAAUGUAAGAACCUUUCUAUUCUACUUUUCCAAAAGUAAAGAUGUUCUUGGGAUAAAGUCAGUACAAUGCAUAAUUUCAACAUGUCUUUGUGGGAUGAUGGGAAAGAGCCUCUUUGUGUGCCUGUCUAUGUAGUUUGCUGGUUGACAGAUAUCUCAAGAGUCGCCAUAUGCAGUACGAAGAAUUGGACAACCUAUUAUUGGAUCUUCAUCGGUUUUCAGGUGAGAAUUGUUUUUGAUGAGUUUCAGAGUCUCUUAAGAAGUUGGAAAACAACCUUUGGUCUAGGAGGAAGUCCUACCAAUUGUGAGUGAAUCCAUUAAAGAAUGAAAUUGGCUAAUGUGAUUGGAAAGAGAAAUGUUUAGAAAUAUGUGGGAUGUGGGAGACCUGUCGUUUGCUUUAUGAUUCACAGGCUGAGGAUUUCUUCAGGGGACAACUGGCUAACUAAAGAGGUCUGUGUUGCUUUCUUCUUUAAAUGUAAUGGAUUUUAUUGGGUUAAAGUAUGGGAUAAUAUUUGUAUUGUUGUUGCGGGUUUUUUCUCUUUUUCAGGAGGAGAUGUGAUUGGAAAGAGAAAUUUCUGUAAAUAUGUGGGAAACCUGUUUUUCCUUUAUGGUUCACAGGCUGAACAUUUCUUCAGGGGAGAUCUGGCUAACUAAAGAGUUCUGUGUUGCCUACAUUUUUUAAAUGUAAUCUUUUUUAGCGUCAACAAGCAUGGAUUGCUAGUGGAUUGUUGUUUUGGGAGACCUCUGUGGACAGGUUGAGGAUUGGGUUUAUUAUUGCAUUGUUGUUUCUCCUGUUUUACAGAUUAGCUUCAAAGAAGAAAGAACACCUUGUACAGAAAGAAGAAUUGGUAAGUGGAAGAUGUUAAAGAAAGAUGGACCAUGAAAACCUUAUUUUUGUCUAUACAUCAAAAUUCUUUCAGGUGUUAAUUCUAACAAUGCUUAAUCACUACUUUUUGGCAAGUUUCAAAACGAGCGCAAUCAAUAAAUUUUAUUGUAUUGUUGUUUUAGUAGAAUUUUUCACCGUGGAGAGAAGACAAUCUACCAACACAGAGCCCAGAACUGGUAAUGGUCUCUCUGUUCCUAUAUUAGAAAUCUUUUACGCAAAAAUUAUUGCAUAUAUUUUAAUGUGUACCAAGUUCUGAUUUCACACUGUAACAUAACUUAUUAUGAUCUAAUAUUCAUGGUCCCACCACUGUCCAGACUUGUUUCACUUAGUUAAAUAGCUAUAAUAUAUAUUAAUUGUUACAAUUAUUAAAUGAGGAUUUUUCUUUCAAAUAUUGGUUGUCAUGCUUCUCUAGGUAUUUGAUGGGGCAAGCUAACUCACUCCUCAUAAUUUUGUUACCUAUGCGUGACAAAAUGCCUUUUGUCACUGGAUUUUUAAAUGACCAACUGCCCUUUGCCCUUGGCUGUUGGAGGAGCCUGAUUGCCAGCCUCCUCCCUCGUGACUGUGGCCCUGGGGUGUAUUGCCAUUUAAAAAGACUAUUUGGGGCUUACUGGCUUCUAAAAGACUGUUUCUGCCCAUUUGAAUCCAUGGGAAUAUGUGUCUCUUCCCCUCCCUCGUUUCCUGUCUAUUGUUCCAGCAGGGCGUUGUCCCAGGCACACUGCCAGACCAGUUGGAACUUGCUGUUGCCCCUCCUCUGUCUCUCAUCAGCUCUUGCCAUGUUUUAAAGGACCACUCUAGGCACCCAGACCACUUCAGCUUAAUGAAGUGGUCUGGGUGCCAGGUCCCUCUAGG